GGGGGGGGGGGGGGGGGGGGGUCAGGACUUUUCAACGCUCUGAGGGAUCUUCCAUGAGUUUCGAGUGUGUCCACAGUCCACAGACGGAGCAGCGGUUCUCCCACCAAAGGUCACGCACUCACACCGCGAAUAUCCAGCGAAGCCGCGGGCACACCUGCACCCCGAGAAGUGACCGAGUGAGGUUGACCGAUGCCCAACAAGACCGCCUCAACAAACUCGAUGAAUGGCGAGCACGGAACAGACGGGUCUACAAACGACCUCCGAUGGAGAAGCGAAGCCUCCACCAUCGAGGGUCUUGUAACACUCAGGCCAAGGAGCUCGGACUACCAGUGGGCCUCUUCUCGUCACCAGAGCGCGAGGAGGAGUUCUACCGGCGAAUCGAUCGUCUUCUCGCACGUUUCGAGGAACUUAUUGAGGAGGAUGAGGAAGUUGAUUUGGUGAUGGCACGCAGAGAGCUUCCCAUGUUGGAGAAGUUUCCACGAUUUGGUUUGCUGCUGGCACGACAGGCACAAAAGCAAAGGGGGGGGGGGGGGGGGGGGGGGGGGGGGGGGGGGGGGGGGGGGGGGGGGGGGGGGGGGGGGGGGGGGGGGGGGGGGGGGGGGGGGGGGGGGGGGGGGGGGGGGGGGAUUAACUUUCUUCUUUGGAGGCAAGAUUGGAAGAUAUUUUUAAACCAAGUAACUUCCAACAACAAUUGGAAAGAAACGAGAAGGGCACUCUUUAUGACGUCACCAGAUACGACUCCGCCCACAUCAUGAAACAGACUUUCACCAAGUUUGAUUUAAAUCCCUGAAGCCAGAUUGAAAAUAUUAAAUAAUUAUGGCUGCCAGACCAUGCGUCCAAUCAGGUUGAAAUUUAAAACAUAUAUUCCCGAUCGCUACCAGAUCAUAACUGUGACGUUUCACGUCGAUUGACGAAGCGGUUCAAGAGAAAGAAUUUUUAAAAUAUUUUCGUUCAACCCAACAUGGCUGCCACAUC
rnacentral:lncRNA from 1 species